GACGAACGCUGGCGGCGUGCUUAACACAUGCAAGUCGAACGGAAAGGCCCUGCUUUUGUGGGGUGCUCGAUUGGCGAACGGGUGAGUAACACGUGAGUAACCUGCCCUUGACUUUGGGAUAACUUCAGGAAACUGGGGCUAAUACCGGAUAGGAGCUCCUGCUGCAUGGUGGGGGUUGGAAAGUUUCGGCGGUUGGGGAUGGACUCGCGGCUUAUCAGCUUGUUGGUGGGGUAGUGGCUUACCAAGGCUUUGACGGGUAGCCGGCCUGAGAGGGUGACCGGCCACAUUGGGACUGAGAUACGGGCAGCACUACUGCGGGAGGCAGAAGGGGGGAAUAUUGCACAAUGGGAGGCAGCCUGAUGCAGCAACGCCGCCUGCGGGUUAAAGGCCGUCGGUUUGUAAGACGAUUUGGCCUGGGAAGAAGCGUGAGUGACAGGAAUGCGUAAAGAAGCACCGGCUAACUACGUG
rnacentral:rRNA from 1 species